rnacentral:piRNA from 1 species
UAACACUUUCUAAAUGAGUAUUUUUAUUU